GCCAGAGCACUUGACUACGCCUAAGUAAAAGUGGGAGGAGCUAGAUGUGGUGAGAUACAGUUUAGACAGUUUCACAGAGAUACUGCCGUUUAUAUCUACUGCAAGAGAGACACUCACAACAAUCAUGUUACUCUUCUUUGUUUUCAUAGCUGUUAAAAACAUUGCAGGUGCUGUUGACAGCAGCAUUACACCAGACCAACCCGUCAUAUCUUCAAGUGAAGGCAGCAGCACCACACUGACCUGCACAUAUGAUCAAUCAGCUGACUAUCUCUACUGGUAUCGACAAAACCCUCAAUCAGGACCAGAGUUGCUGCUGAGGAUUUUUAUAUCUUCAGGUGAUGUCACUAAAGCUGAACAACUUGACCCAAGACUAUCCAUCAGACUCCGUAAAAAUGAGAGGAAAGUAGAUCUGGAGAUCUUUCCUGCUGCAGUAUCAGACUCUGCACUGUACUACUGCGCCAUGGAGCCCACAGUGACACAAAACUCAAACACACUGUACAAAAAGUGAAGCUGGAUUUUCUCUCAGGAGGGGGAGCUGUUUACCUGCUUCAUUCAAAGAAAGCAAGAGAAAGCAAGCAAGUUUAUCUGCAAAAGAUGUAGAAGUGAGCAUGGUACGCUACUGACUGGCGUAUGGAAAACAGUGUAAGAUCUGUGAGAAAAUUAAUCAGUUUGUAAGAUCUAGUAAAGUGCAUGCAGUUGAUGACAGCGCAGUCUUUUUCAUCAGAGGCUUUACAAUCUUUUAAUAAUCUCUAAUCUGCGAUAAUAGGCCG